UAUAAUUACUCUAUUUUAGGAUUUAACAUGUGGUACGACGGACAAUUUUUUUAAUUAGUAUAUAU
rnacentral:sRNA from 1 species